rnacentral:misc_RNA from 1 species
UGUAGGAGUGAGCCUGCUCGCGAUAGCGGUGGCUCAGGUGUUGAUGUGUUGCCUGACACACCGCUAUCGCGAGCAGGCUCACUCCUACA